rnacentral:rRNA from 1 species
UACGGAGGGAGCUAGCGUUGUUCGGAAUUACUGGGCGUAAAGCGCGCGUAGGCGGUUUUUUAAGUCAGAGGUGAAAGCCCAGUGCUCAACACUGGAACCGCCUUUGAAACUGGAAAACUUGAAUCUUGGAGAGGUCAGUGGAAUUCCGAGUGUAGAGGUGAAAUUCGCAGAUAUUCGGAAGAACACCAGUGGCGAAGGCGACUGACUGGACAAGUAUUGACGCUGAGGUGCGAAAGCGUGGGGAGCGAACAGG